GAUGAACGCUGGCGGCGUGCCUAAUACAUGCAAGUCGAGCGAACGGACGAGAAGCUUGCUUCUCUGAUGUUAGCGGCGGACGGGUGAGUAACACGUGGAUAACCUACCUAUAAGACUGGGGUCACUUCGGUAACCCGGAGCUAAUACCGCAUCAUAUUUUGAACCGCAUGGUUCAAAAGUGAAAGACGGUCUUGCUGUCACUUAUAGAUGUAUCCGCGCUGCAUUAGCUAGUUGGUAAGGUAACGGCUUACCAAGGCAACGAUGCAUAGCCGACCUGAGAGGGUGAUCGGCCACACUGGAACUGAGACACGGUCCAGACUCCUACGGGAGGCAGCAGUAGGGAAUCUUCCGCGAUGGGCGAAAGCCUGACGGAGCAACGCCGCGUGAGUGAUGAAGGUCUUCGGAUCGUAAAACUCUGUUAUUAGGGAAGAACAUAUGUGUAAGUAACUGUGCACAUCUUGACGGUACCUAAUCAGAAAGCCACGGCUAACUACGUG
rnacentral:rRNA from 1 species